rnacentral:rRNA from 1 species
GAUCCUGGCUCAGGACGAACGCUGGCGGCGUGCUUAACACAUGCAAGUCGAACGAAAAGACGAAAAGAGCUUGCUCUUUCCGGAAUUGAGUGGCAAACGGGUGAGUAACACGUAAACAACCUGCCUUCAGGAUGGGGACAACAGACGGAAACGACUGCUAAUACCGAAUAAGUUCCAAGAGCCGCAUGGCCCAUGGAAGAAAAGGUGGCCUCUACCUGUAAGCUAUCGCCUGAAGAGGGGUUUGCGU